rnacentral:rRNA from 1 species
UGCAGUCGAACGGUGAAAGAGGAGCUUGCUCCUCUGGAUCAGUGGCGAACGGGUGAGUAACACGUGAGUAACCUGCCCCAGACUCUGGGAUAAGCACUGGAAACGGUGUCUAAUACCGGAUACGAGCUUCAGCCGCAUGGCUAGGAGCUGGAAAGAAUUUCGGUCUGGGAUGGACUCGCGGCCUAUCAGCUAGUUGGUGAGGUAAUGGCUCACCAAGGCGACGACGGGUAGCCGGCCUGAGAGGGUGACCGGCCACACUGGGACUGAGACACGGCCCAGACUCCUACGGGAGGCAGCAGUGGGGAAUAUUGCACAAUGGGCGCAAGCCUGAUGCAGCAACGCCGCGUGAGGGACGACGGCCUUCGGGUUGUAAACCUCUUUUAGUAGGGAAGAAGCGAAAGUGACGGUACCUGCAGAAAAAGCACCGGCUAACUACGUGCCAGCAGCCGCGGUAAUACGUAGGGUGCAAGCGUUAUCCGGAAUUAUUGGGCGUAAAGAGCUCGUAGGCGGUUUGUCGCGUCUGCUGUGAAAACUGGAGGCUCAACCUCCAGCCUGCAGUGGGUACGGGCAGACUAGAGUGCGGUAGGGGAGAUUGGAAUUCCUGGUGUAGCGGUGGAAUGCGCAGAUAUCAGGAGGAACACCGAUGGCGAAGGCAGAUCUCUGGGCCGUAACUGACGCUGAGGAGCGAAAGCAUGGGGAGCGAACAGGAUUAGAUACCCUGGUAGUCCAUGCCGUAAACGUUGGGAACUAGAUGUAGGGACCAUUCCACGGUUUCUGUGUCGCAGCUAACGCAUUAAGUUCCCCGCCUGGGGAGUACGGCCGCAAGGCUAAAACUCAAAGGAAUUGACGGGGGCCCGCACAAGCGGCGGAGCAUGCGGAUUAAUUCGAUGCAACGCGAAGAACCUUACCAAGGCUUGACAUAUACCGGAAAAGUUCAGAAAUGUUCUCCCCGCAAGGUCGGUAUACAGGUGGUGCAUGGUUGUCGUCAGCUCG